UCCGGCUUAUCACCGGCAGUCCCUCUAGAGUGCCCAACUUAAUGGUAGCAACUAAAGGCAAGGGUUGCGCUCGUUGCGGGACUUAACCCAACAUCUUACGACACGAGCUGACGACAGCCAUGCAGCACCUGUCUCCACGCCCCCGAAGGGGAAGCCGUAUCUCUACGGAUGUCGUGGGAUGUCAAACCCAGGUAAGGUUCUGCGCGUUGCUUCGAAUUGAACCACAUACUCCACCGCUUGUGCGGGCCCCCGUCAAUUCCUUUGAGUUUUAGCCUUGCGACCGUACUCCCCAGGCGGGAUACUUAAUGCGUGAGCUUUGAUACUCAGAGGGUUAACUCUCCGAACAUCUAGUAUCCAUAGUUUACGGCGUGGACUAC
rnacentral:misc_RNA from 1 species